rnacentral:misc_RNA from 1 species
UGCGACGAGUGAAUAUUAACGAGGCUACUUUGCCUUGAGUACCCUCCGCCGUGGUUUCCUCUCUAGAAUCUCACCACAUUCCAGUCGACCUGAUUCAGACAACCAGAAUGCUGCGCCACUCGCUGCUUCGUUGCCAGAUGAACCGGGCUCCGGCUCGACCGGGUCCCACGCUGUACGGCUGGGGUCGCACGGAGCAGAAGCGCCGCCUUGAGUACGAAGCGACGGAGUCCAAGUAUCACAAGCGCGAUUUCAAUAAGUCUUGGGAUGUUGCUGGCGUCGAGCAGCGCUACUCGGACUUCAUGCAGGUUCGCACAUAUUUCUCCAUCGGCUCUCGCUGGGGCACCUGGCUGUACAACAUGAUUCAGUUCUACGUGCUGUCGAUGCUCCCCAUCUUCGCCUUUAUGCACUUCCUUCACAAGAGCAUUGAGGCCUACGACGACAGCAUCCGCAAGGCAGCCUGGUGGUAGUGUCGCAGAUGCGUGAUUGCACCCACGUGGGAGCGCGUUGCCACGGUCGCACGACCCACCUGUCUCUCGCCCCCUUUCCCAUUCACCGAUGAUCACUGUAGCAGUGUGAGUGCCCAGUAGUUUUGACUCUCUCUUUCCUUUUUCUUCUGUAGUGGUAACAGUUUCGCGUAGCGGGUAGGAGAACUAAGGAAACAUAAAAGGUAUGUCAACAGGAAGAUGUAGUCACGCGCAACCGGCUGUUCCGCCUCGUUGCCUCCAUCACAUUGAGCGCAGAGAGACUGUCACGCUCCUCACCUCUCGCCGGCGUGCCGCCGCUUUCCUACUUGCGCGGAUCGUGACUGAAGUGGCUCGCGCUCUUCCGAGCGGUGGUAAGUGGCUCAAAGACGAGGUGGGAAUGCAGCCCUAAUCGUAAGUGGGAGGGGGAGCGAGCUUGCGUACAACUCAUCUGCCUUGCUCGUAUUAUCUCGACACGCACCUCUCCUGUCUAAUUACGUCCCCUCCCUUCUCUCCGCUACUUCGUUAAUGAUAUGUCCGCCUUGUCAUCGUGUACCGCAG